AACGAACGCUGGCGGCAGGCCUAACACAUGCAAGUCGAACGCUGUAGCAAUACAGAGUGGCAGACGGGUGAGUAACGCGUGGGAACAUUCCUAGUGGUACGGAAUAGCUCAGGGAAACUUGGGGUAAUACCGUAUAAGCCCUUACGGGGAAAGAUUUAUCGCCAUUAGAUUGGCCCGCGUUGGAUUAGCUAGUUGGUGAGGUAACGGCUCACCAAGGCGACGAUCCAUAGCUGGUUUGAGAGAAUGACCAGCCACACUGGGACUGAGACACGGCCAAGACUCCGAUGGGAGGCAGCAGUGGGGAAUCUUGGACAAUGGGCGCAAGCCUGAUCCAGCCAUGCCGCGUGGGUGACGAAGGCCUUCGGGUUGUAAAGCUCUUUUGACGGGGACGAUAAUGACGGUACCCGUAGAAUAAGUCCCGGCUAACUUCGUGCCAGCAGCCGCCGUAA
rnacentral:rRNA from 1 species